GGAUUCNCCCUUAGAGUUUGAUANGGNNCNNNAUGAACGCUAGCGACAGGCUUAACACAUGCAAGUCGAGGGGCAGCGGGGGUGUUGCUUGCAACACCUGCCGGCGACCGGCGCACGGGUGAGUAACACGUAUGCAAUCUGCCCCCGGCAGGGGAAUAAGCCGGAGAAAUCCGGUCUAAUACCGCGUAACAUCGCGGGAGGGCAUCCUUCCGUGAUCAAAGGAAGCAAUUCCGGCCGGGGAUGGGCAUGCGGCGCAUUAGCUAGUUGGCGGGGUAACGGCCCACCAAGGCGACGAUGCGUAGGGGUUCUGAGAGGAAGGUCCCCCACACUGGUACUGAGACACGGACCAGACUCCUACGGGAGGCAGCAGUGAGGAAUAUUGGUCAAUGGGCGGGAGCCUGAACCAGCCAAGUCGCGUGAGGGAAGACGGUCCUAUGGAUUGUAAACCUCUUUUGUCGGGGAGCAAAGGGGUCCACGUGUGGAUCACUCGAGAGUACCCGAAGAAAAAGCAUCGGCUAACUCCGUGCCAGCAGCCGCGGUAAUACGGAGGAUGCGAGCGUUAUCCGGAUUUAUUGGGUUUAAAGGGUGCGUAGGCGGGCUGUCAAGUCAGCGGUAAAAUGGAGAGGCUCAACCUCUUCAGGCCGUUGAAACUGGCGGUCUUGAGUGAAUGAGAAGUAUGCGGAAUGCGUGGUGUAGCGGUGAAAUGCAUAGAUAUCACGCAGAACUCCGAUUGCGAAGGCAGCAUACCGGCAUUCAACUGACGCUGAAGCACGAAAGCGUGGGGAUCAAACAGGAUUAGAUACCCUGGUAGUCCACGCAGUAAACGAUGAAUGCUAGAUGUCCGGGUCGAAUGAGGCCUGGGUGUCACAGCGAAAGCGUUAAGCAUUCCACCUGGGGAGUACGCCGGCAACGGUGAAACUCAAAGGAAUUGACGGGGGCCCGCACAAGCGGAGGAACAUGUGGUUUAAUUCGAUGAUACGCGAGGAACCUUACCCGGGCUCAAACGUGGAAGGAAUGAGUGUGAAAGCAUUCAGUCCUCCGGGACUUUCCACGAGGUGCUGCAUGGUUGUCGUCAGCUCGUGCCGUGAGGUGUCGGCUUAAGUGCCAUAACGAGCGCAACCCCCAUCGACAGUUGCUAACAGGUAAAGCUGAGGACUCUGUCGAGACUGCCGGCGCAAGCUGUGAGGAAGGCGGGGAUGACGUCAAAUCAGCACGGCCCUUACGUCCGGGGCGACACACGUGUUACAAUGGCAGGGACAGCGGGAAGCCAUCCGGCGACGGAGAGCGGAACCCGAAACCCUGUCUCAGUUCGGAUUGGAGUCUGCAACUCGACUCCAUGAAGCUGGAUUCGCUAGUAAUCGCGCAUCAGCCAUGGCGCGGUGAAUACGUUCCCGGGCCUUGUACACACCGCCCGUCAAGCCAUGGAAGCCGGGAGUGCCUGAAGUACGUGACCGUAAAAGGAGCGUCCUAGGGUAAAACCGGUGACUGGGGCUAAGUCGUAACAAGGUAGCCGU
rnacentral:rRNA from 1 species